UUUCCGGUUGAUCCCGCCGGACCUGACUGCUAUCGGAUUGAUACUAAGCCAUGCGAGUCUUUGUAGUAAUACAAGGCAGACGGCUCAGUAACACGUAGUCAACCUACCCUAUGGACGAGAAUAAUCUCGGGAAACUGAGCACAAUUCUUGAUAGAUCAUAAUGCCUGGAAUGGUUUAUGGUUAAAAUGAUUCGUCGCCAUAGGAUGGGACUGCGGCCUAUCAGCUUGUUGGUGAGGUAAUGGCCCACCAAGGCGAUUACAGGUACGGGCUCUGAGAGGAGAAGCCCGGAGAUGGGUACUGAGACACGGACCCAGGCCCUAUGGGGCGCAGCAGGCGAGAAAACUUUGCAAUGUGCGAAAGCACGACAAGGUUAAUCCGAGUGAUUUCUGCUAAAGAAAUCUUUUGCCAGUCGUAAAACCGCUGGUGAAUAAGGGGCGGGCAAGUUCUGGUGUCAGCCGCCGCGGUAAAACCAGCACCUCAAGUGGUCAGGAUGAUUAUUGGGCCUAAAGCAUCCGUAGCCGGCUUUGUAAGUUUUCGGUUAAAUCCAUGUGCUCAACGCAUGGGCUGCCGAAAAUACUGCAUAGCUAGGGAGUGGAAGAGGUAGACGGUACUCAGUAGGUAGGGGUAAAAUCCUUUGAUCUAUUGAUGACCACCUGUGGCGAAGGCGGUCUACCAG
rnacentral:rRNA from 1 species